rnacentral:rRNA from 1 species
CCCUGCCCUUUGUACACACCGCCCGUCGCUACUACCGAUUGAAUGGCUUAGUGAGACCUCCGGAUUGGUGGUUUUUGGGCCGAAAGGCUUGGAGACUGUUGAGAAGUUGGUCAAACUUGGUCAUUUAGAGG